UUUUUGAUUGAAAAAAUCCAUACUGAUUAGUUAUAUAUCAAGUUGUAUUUUCUUAUGUCAUUAGGAAAACAAAAUUUGGAGAUUCAAAUCCAAGAAUCAUUCAUGCAUUUUAAGUCAAUAGUUAAUGGUUCCUAUUUUCAUAAAGUUUAAUUUUGGAUUUUGCGACUGAAAAUCCACAUUUGAUUUUUCAAUAGAAAGGUAAGAGAAAGUUUUGAACAUUAUGAAUUUUGAGAUAGACUCAAUCGAAAUUGAAAGGAUGAAUCAAAAGGGAAGAAGGAUUAGGAUUUCUUUGACUUUUAGGAAAAAUUAAGGAAAACAGAACUCAAGGUGCAAGUACAAUAAAAAAGCAGUUCAGUAAUCCGGGAAAGUUUUCAUCUAUUUUGUAUUUGUAGCAUUUUGGCGACAUGGCCGAGUGGUAAGGCAGAGGACUGCAAAUCCUUUUUUCCCCAGUUCAAAUCCGGGUGUCGCCUGAUCAACAAAAAACUAGAAAUCUCUUCUUUUCUUCUGUUGAUAUAACCCGCCGAAUGAUUCCCCAGCAGAAGCAGAGAAAGCAGACUGUUGAUACUUGUUUGAUUCUAAACAUCUGGUCUGGGGGUUUUUCUAAAAAAUUGUAAAUAUCCUUGCAUAUUUAGGCUUCAAGGAAAUAUUCGAAUGCUAGAGGGGCUAUCAAGACUUCGCAAUUACCUUCUACUACAAAUCAAAAUUUUCUAUUAUUAAUGCAUUGUAUAAUGACUGGACCCUGGAUUAGAUUGGAGAGCCCCAUAGGAAAUCUAAAUAGUUGUGGAAGGGGGCGGAAGAUACUUUAUUAUAUACGAGGAACUCACGAAAAUCUCUGAGUGCUCAAGCAUCCAAUCAAUUGAAAUAAGGGUCAACAAAAAAAGAAUAGGACCUAUUAUUCCUACAUGUUCCAUUAGUAACAUUCCCUUGAGAUGUUACUGCGGAUUUUGCUUGUGUUUAAUCUUUCCCGAUUAGAAAUCAUAUAGGAAUUUCUUCUAAAAUGAGCGAAUUUAUUGGAUUGGUUUAUUAAUAGUCUUCGUUCUUUUUGACUCUGCGCCAUUGAUUCCACUAUUAUUAGUGAGGAAUAAUGGAACAAUUCCUUUAUAUUUAUAGAGAUAGGGGACAUAAUUCAUAUGGAUAUAGUAAGUCUUGCUUGGGCUGCUUUAAUGGUAGUCUUUACUUUUUCCCUUUCACUCGUAGUGUGGGGAAGGAGUGGACUCUAAGGGUCCUACUAAUUGAGUUAAGGAAGCAAACUGUAUCAAUAUCAAUUGCUUUCUAGAUCGUUCUGCAACACGUUUUGAACAAAAUAAAAUUUGAAAUUCCAUUGGACUCGACUGGAGUAAUGUAUUAUAGGAAUCAUCCUCUUUCAAUCAAAGAGCUAUUUCAACAAUUCCCAUGUUUGUAGUUCGAAAGGAAGAGGAUCCCAGGAAAUUUAUUCGAACCUAAUUCUUCCGAAAUUUUCUAUUCCAAUAAACGGCCUCUUACUAGGUGAUACUGAGGAGGGUCGGACCCUUUUUUUAUUUAUUUCUCUCUUUACUGUUCAAAGAAGAAGUGGUUUUGUUAAGUGUAUACACACUUUGUAUGAGAAAGAAAGGAUAUAAACAUAGUGGUUGUCUAACGAGAUACUAUGCAGAAUAAGAUCGUCAGGUGAGUCACAUAUUGCGCAUUUACCGCUUUCGAAUUUUUGAAAUUGGAUUUAUACUUUAUCGACUUAUUUCAUAUCAUGGUUCAGGCGUUAAAAAUCAGUGAGGUUUACUCUUCCUUUUCGAUGCCCGUGGAACUACUGUCAAUGGUUUACUCAAUUACUUCUUGGGAAUGCAAAUAAAUGGAAUUGGAUGCUAUGUCAAUCCCAUAUAUGGAAUUGAUAUUCACAUAUAUCAAGAUAAUAUUGUAGAUUGAUCUAUAGAUCCAUAUCAAACGCAGCCUCUAUCUUUAUUUUAUUCCAGGGGGCUAACUAAUAAAUAGUAUGGUAGAAAGAAAUAGAUGAAUCUUUCUACCAUACUAUCUAUCUAUUAGA